CUGCCAUUUUUUGAUGGGGGUUGGUGAGGGCGUCUGACCUGAAGGAGGAGGCCAGAUGCAGCUAUUUAUAAAGUUUUCAGGGAAUAGAGAUCUCAAGAGAAGAUUGCAUGUCCUUGCUGUCCCCCUGGCCGCCAGUGGUCACUGAGCCAUCUUCUCCCCAUUUCCCAGGUAUGAUCGGGUACGGCAUGGCCAAGGCUGCUGUUCACCAGCUCUGCCAGAGCCUGGCUGGGAAGAACAGCGGCAUGCCGCCCGGGGCAGCCGCCAUCGCUGUGCUCCCGGUUACCCUGGAUACCCCGAUGAACAGGAAAUCAAUGCCUGAGGCUGACUUCAGCUCCUGGACACCCUUAGAAUUCCUAGUUGAGUGAGUAUUACAGACAUGUCCAUGACUGAGCAGCUUCCAGCCCCUAUUCUCUGCCUGCUGUGGUCCAGAGGACAAGUCUGUGUUCCCUGAGAUCGUCAAUCCGGGUGGUCUUGGGAGGUCUCUGGGACUCUGAGGAUGCGUUGCACAUCAGACGGAAUCUCAGGGUAGCUGGACUUGGAGACAGGCAGCAGAGUGGCAGAAUGGGUAGUGCCGACAUGAAUCC
rnacentral:sRNA from 1 species